UACUAUCAAAAUGGGAACAGGCAGGCUUUUC
rnacentral:piRNA from 1 species